GACGAACGCUGGCGGCGUGCUUAACACAUGCAAGUCGAACGGAAAGGCCCUGCUUUUGUGGGGUGCUCGAGUGGCGAACGGGGGAGUAACACGUGUGUAACCUGCCCUUGACUUUGGGAUAACUUCAGGAAACUGGGGCUAAGACCGGAUAGGAGCUACUGCUCCAUGGUGGGGGUUGGAAAGUUUCGGCGGUUGGGGAUGGACUCGCGGCUUAUCAGCUUGUUGGUGGGGUAGUGGCUUACGAAGCCUUUGACGGGUAGCCGGCAGGGGAGAGGGACCGGCGACCAGGCGCCUAAGAUACGCAGCAGUGUGGAAUGGUAGGCAGCGGUGGGGAGUCUUACACAGUGGGACCAAGUCUGUGACGACGACCCUGCGUGCGUGAUGCCGUCUUUCUGGUUGUAAACAGCUUUCGCCUGAGACGACGCGGGAGUGACGGUACUGGAUAAAGAAGCACCGGCUAACUACGUG
rnacentral:rRNA from 1 species